CAGUAGCCACGGUAAUACGAGGGGGGCAAGCGUUGUUCGGAAUUAUUGGGCGUAAAGGGCGCGUAGGCGGUUUGACAAGUCUGAUGUGAAAUCUAUGGGCUCAACCCAUAGCCUGCAUUAGAAACUGUCGGGCUUGAGUAUGGGAGAGGUGAGUGGAAUUUCCGGUGUAGCGGUGAAAUGCGUAGAUAUCGGAAGGAACACCUGUGGCGAAAGCGGCUCACUGGACCAUAACUGACGCUGAGGCGCGAAAGCUAGGGGAGCAAACAGGAUUAGAUACCCCUGUAGUCCCUGUCUCUUAUAC
rnacentral:rRNA from 1 species